GUGAGUAACACGUGAGAAUCUGCCUUUAGGAGGGGGACAACAACUGGAAACGGUUGCUAAUACCCCAUAUGCUUUCGAGUGAAAUGAAUUUAUUCGCCUAGAGAGGAGCUCGCGCCUGAUUAGCUUGUUGGUGGGGUAAAAGCCUACCAAGGCGACGAUCAGUAUCUGGUUUGAGAGGACGAUCAGACACACUGGAACUGAGACACGGUCCAGACUCCUACGGGAGGCAGCAGUGGGGAAUUUUCUGCAAUGGGCGAAAGCCUGACAGAGCAAUACCGCGUGAGGGAUGACAGUCCUAUGGAUUGUAAACCUCUUUUUUCAGGGAGGAAGUUCUGACGUUACCUGAAGAAUAAGCAUCGGCUAACUCCGUGCCAGC
rnacentral:rRNA from 1 species